CAGCGAACUAUCUCGUAGGCGAAUAUGUCCGUGCACUACGCAGACCCGCUGAGUCCGUCAACGAUCAUUGAAGUUCAGUGACAACGACUUCUUAACGUUAUCAAGCUGUUCGAUUACUCAUACUGAAAUGGAUUCCCGAAUGAUUUCCACUGCUCAUUGCGGUGCCUCGAAAACAGUCAAAUAGGCCGAGGUUGAGGGCGGCCACGGUACGAAAAGCUCGUUUUCCUCAAUUCUACAGCUGUACGACGUCGCAUAUGCACCCUGAUUUUACUGGAGUUAUUAUUAGCGUGGCAAAUUGUGUGCGUGAUGCCUCAUAAAUACUACGCCUGCAGUGAACUCGAAAGCGGAGCCCGCUUUUUUCGACUUCAGGUAGAUUGAGCUGCCAAAGCCGAAACGCUGAAUUCUUACCCUGCUUCUGUCCGUAAGAUCGCCCGCUAUCGCAGAUAUAUAUACGCAAAACAAGGUUAUCAUAUUCGAAGUAAGUGAUUGCCCCAUGAUAAGCUGGAAAAAAGUCCCGCUGACUGACUGAUUUGUCGCUCAUCGGUUAAGUUCUUUGUCGCAAUGACUGCAAGUAGGAGUUAAACACUAACAGAUGUGACAGUUAUAUAUUUCUAAUGCAAAACCAAACGUUUGUACAAAACUGGUUGUUAUUUGCUGUUGAGCCGUCACUUGCGACGUUUAGGUAAAACACUAGCAGAAAAUCUCAGCGUAAACUGUGUAACCUAUCGGGAAGAGGAAUGCAUUUUUCAAUUGUAUCUUGUAAUAAGCUAGAAAUUGUAUGCCGAUAAAUUCGUUGAGAGGGCGAAAGGCGUGAUGUGGCGCUUUUAGCAGUAUUUAAACGUCCCUUUUUGCUCAGGCGUCGGAUUAGACCACAUUAUUGCCAGUUGUUAUUGAAAACGAAUCUGGCUCGUUUCAACAACGAAGUGGGCUUUCUCAUUAAGCAGUUUUCCCUGCCAACAUGAUACGAUGAACCAGAAAGGGCAGUAGUGUGGCCUUGUAGUGUUCUUAGUGUUCCUCUCCUGUAAAGUGCUGCGCAAAUUAAAGCAAGGUUGUUAUGUAAAUCUUCAUUCACGACCGCUGUAGCUGCUUCAGCUGGACCCUACUUCGAAAUAUUGAAGGCGUAAAUCGUGCCGAUGCGCGAGCACGUUGAGUGACACCCUAUGUUUUUCCAUUCAAAGUGCGAGCUGAAGUGAGAACUUAAAGAUAUGUUUGGUGACAGCUUUUGACAAUGUGCGACUAUAAGAAUGAAACGUAUAAGCAGGUUUUAACAGUUUAUGGCUGUCUAUUUCAGACAUCACAAAGGCCUGUGAUGUUAUUAAUGCAGAAAACGAUUAUGCAAUAUACUUCAAGCCUUAAGGACACGGGGGCUAACGUUGAAAUGCAUGAAAAUACAUACAGUCACCAGUAAUCAUUGCUGAAUUGAUGAUCCCGAAGAUGUGACGAUCGAGCGCUAAAAUUUGGCGAUCUGUUAAUGAACUAGAUGACCGCUACGGACAACACGACAUCAAAAUUCGGCAACGUGAACGUCUAUCUCGUUUUAUACGUUCUGCUAACGUUGCCUAAAUUGAAUCGAAUGAUUGAUCAAUCUAUGAAUUAUAUUACCACAGUAUAUGAAGCCCAAAUUUAACUCAAAUCGACUACAAAAACCAGCGUAUGAUCCAACAAACCUCGACACCCAUCUGUUAUGGAGCUCAGACCACAAAUAAAUAGUGCAUGCGUUUAAUGCACCUGGAGGCAGGCCA